UACGUAGGGUGCGAGCGUUGUCCGGAAUUAUUGGGCGUAAAGAGCUUGUAGGCGGUCUGUCGCGUCUGCUGUGAAAAUCCGGGGCUCAACCCCGGACUUGCAGUGGGUACGGGCAGACUAGAGUGUGGUAGGGGAGACUGGAAUUCCUGGUGUAGCGGUGAAAUGCGCAGAUAUCAGGAGGAACACCGAUAGCGAAGGCAGCUCGCUGGGACGGUACUGACGCUGAGGUGCGAAAGCGUGGGGAGCGAACAGG
rnacentral:rRNA from 1 species